rnacentral:rRNA from 1 species
GUCGGGAGUCUUGCACAAUGGGGGAAACCCUGAUGCAGCGACGUCGCGUGUGGGAUGACGUAUUUCGGUAUGUAAACCACUUUUGAAUGGGACGAAGACAGUGACGGUACCAUUCGAAUAAGCCCCGGCUAACUACGUGCCAGCAGCCGCGGUAAUACGUAGGGGGCGAGCGUUGCUCGGAUUCACUGGGCGUAAAGCGCGCGUAGGCGGCUUGUUAAGUGGGAAGUUAAAGACCCCGGCUCAACCGGGGGGCUGCUUCUCAAACUGGCAGGCUCGAGUGUAGGAGAGGGAAGUGGAAUUCCUGGUGUAGCGGUGAAAUGCGUUGAUAUCAGGAGGAACACCAAUGGCGAAGGCAGCUUCCUGGCCUACUACUGACGCUGAGGCGCGAAAGCGUGGGGAGCGAACGGGAUUAGAUACCCGGGUAGUCC